AACGUAGGUGGCGAGCGUUAUCCGGAUUUACUGGGCGUAAAGGGUGUGCAGGCUGCCCCUCAAGUGGUGUAUGAAAGGGCUCGGCUCAACCGGGCUAGGUUAUGCCAGACUGAGGGGCUAGAGAGCGAGAGCGGGACGUGGAAUUCCGGGUGUAGUGGUGAAAUGCGUAGAGAUCCGGAGGAACCCCAGAGGCGAAGGCGGCGUCCUGGCUCGCAUCUGACGCUCAGACACGACAGCAUGGGGAGCAAACGGG
rnacentral:rRNA from 1 species